AGGCCUGCAGAGAGAGAGGCAGGGUCUGAUCUGCAACAUCAGUGGCAACUGUUGAUCAGCCAUUGCCUCUCUCUUUCUCUCCC
rfam:Myotis brandtii contig202555, whole genome shotgun sequence.